rnacentral:rRNA from 1 species
AACGAACGCUGGCGGCAGGCCUAACACAUGCAAGUCGAACGCCGUAGCAAUACGGAGUGGCAGACGGGUGAGUAACGCGUGGGAACAUACCCCUCGGUUCGGAAUAACUCAGGGAAACUUGAGCUAAUACCGGAUACGUCCGAGGUUUUAAUCGGCCUUGGAGAAAGAUUUAUCGCCGGAGGAUUGGCCCGCGUCUGAUUAGCUUGUUGGUGAGGUAAUGGCUCACCAAGGCGACGAUCAGUAGCUGGUCUGAGAGGAUGAUCAGCCACA